GCCAGACUCCUACGGGAGGCAGCAGUGGGGAAUAUUGCACAAUGGGGGAAACCCUGAUGCAGCGACGCCGCGUGAGUGAAGAAGUAUUUCGGUAUGUAAAGCUCUGUCAGCAGGGAAGAAAGAAAUGACGGUACCUGACCAAGAAGCCCCGGCUAACUACGUGCCAGCAGCCGCGGUAAUACGUAGGGGGCAAGCGUUAUCCGGAAUUACUGGGUGUAAAGGGAGCGUAGACGGUGAUGCAAGUCUGGAGUGAAAGGCGGGGGCCCAACCCCCGGACUGCUCUGGAAACUGUAUGACAUGAGUGCAGGAGAGGUAAGCGGAAUUCCUAGUGUAGCGGUGAAAUGCGUAGAUAUUAGGAGGAACACCAGUGGCGAAGGCGGCUUACUGGACUGUAACUGACGUUGAGGCUCGAAAGCGUGGGGAGCAAACAGGAUUAGAUCCCCGUGUA
rnacentral:rRNA from 1 species